rnacentral:siRNA from 1 species
AUGCUAUUACAUGGGCCUAAACUU